GACCCUAUGGUCUAGCGGUUAGGACACUGCCCUUUCACGGCGGUAGCUCGGGUUCGAUUCCCGAUAGGGUCGCCA
rnacentral:tRNA from 2 species